GCGCGAAACCUCUGCAAUAGGCGAAAGCCUGACAGGGUUACUCUGAGUGAUUCCCGCUAAGGGGAUCUUUUGGCACCUCUAAAAAUGGUGCAGAAUAAGGGGUGGGCAAGUCUGGUGUCAGCCGCCGCGGUAAUACCAGCACCCCGAGUGGUCGGGACGAUUAUUGGGCCUAAAGCAUCCGUAGCCGGUCAUGCAAGUCCUCCGUUAAAUCCACCUGCUUAACAGAUGGGCUGCGGAGGAUACUACAAGGCUAGGAGGCGGAAGAGGCAAGCGGUACUCAGUGGUAGGGGUAAAAUCCUCUGAUCCAUUGAAGACCACCAGUGGCGAAGGCGGCUUGCCAAUACGCGCUCGACGGUGAGGGAUGAAAGCUGGGGAGCAAACCGGAUUAGAUACCCGGGUAGUCCCAGCUGUAAACGAUGCAGACUCGGUGAUGGGCCGCUUUAUGCCGGCUCAGUGCCGCAGGGAAGCCGUUAAGUCUGCCGCCUGGGGGAUACGGUCGCAAGACUGUAAAACG
rnacentral:rRNA from 1 species